UCUGGAGAGAGUUGUAGAUGAAUAGUGUUUGACAUUAUAACACCAAUUAUUGUUGAUUAGUAUAAAACAGACAACUGAAGAAAGAAAUUAAAUCAGUUGUUACAGAGAACUAAUAUCAAGAUGAGGCAACUAAUUGUAUUUGGAAUAUUGAUCAACUUCCUGUUUACCACGGUCCUGUCACUUGACAAGAGUUGUCCGACCUGUGGACGUCCAGUAUGUAGAUGCCAGUGUAAAAAUCAACACAGAUGGAGGGGAGGGCGAGAAGUAGUCAAUGAUGUCGAGGAUGUCUUCAAGAGAAAUGAUGAACCGUUGGAAGAACUAGAGAGGUUUGUUACUGGACAGGAUUUUAGUCUAGAAGAGGAAUGAUGUUUUUCUGGUAAUAUUUUCUAAUGGUUGACAUGACGAUCCAACCAAGUGUCAAACCAGAAGUUGAAAAAUAAAAUUUCAUAAAGUCAU